GGGGGGGGCAAGCGUUGUUCGGAAUUACUGGGCGUAAAGGGCUCGUAGGCGGCCAACUAAGUCCGACGUGAAAUCCCCAGGCUCAACCUGGGAACUGCGUCGGAUACUGGAUGGCUUGAAUUCGGGAGAGGGAUGCAGAAUUCCAGGUGUAGCGGUGAAAUGCGUAGAUAUCUGGAGGAAUACCGGUGGCGAAGGCGGCAUCCUGGACCGACAUUGACGCUGAGGAGCGAAAGCUAGGGGAGCAAACGGGAUUAGAUACCCCGGUAGUCCUAGCCCUAAACGAUGAAUGCUUGGUGUGGCGGGUAUCGAUCCCUGCCGUGCCGAAGCUAACGCAUUAAGCAUUCCGCCUGGGGAGUACGGUCGCAAGGCUGAA
rnacentral:rRNA from 1 species